CUACGGGAGGGCUGCAGUGGGGAAUAUUGGACAAUGGGGGAAACCCUGAUCCAGCAAUGCCGCGUGUGUGAAGAAGGCCUGCGGGUUGUAAAGCACUUUCGGUUGGGAGGACUGCUUCUAGCACUAAUAUUGUUGGAAGUUGACGUUACCUUCAGAAGAAGCACCGGCUAACUCCGUGCCAGCAGCCGCGGUAAUACGGAGGGUGCAAGCGUUAAUCGGAAUUACUGGGCGUAAAGCGCGCGUAGGCGGCUAGAUCAGUCGGGUGUGAAAGCCCCGGGCUUAACCUGGGAACUGCAUCCGAUACUGUCUAGCUUAAGUACAGGAGAGGGGAGUGGAAUUCCACAUGUAGCGGUGAAAUGCGUAGAUAUGUGGAGGAACACCAAUGGCGAAGGCAGCUCUCUGGCCUGAUACUGACGCUGAAGUGCGAAAGCGUGGGGAGCAAACAGGAUUAGAUACCCGGGUAGUC
rnacentral:rRNA from 1 species